rnacentral:piRNA from 1 species
UCAUAAAAUAAUAAAAUUCCA